rnacentral:rRNA from 1 species
CCUACGGGUGGCAGCAGUGGGGAAUAUUGGACAAUGGGCGAAAGCCUGAUCCAGCCAUGCCGCGUGUGUGAAGAAGGCCUUCGGGUUGUAAAGCACUUUCAGUGGGGAAGAAAGCCUUGGGGCUAAUACCCUCGAGGAAGGACAUCACCCACAGAAGAAGCACCGGCUAACUCCGUGCCAGCAGCCGCGGUAAUACGGAGGGUGCGAGCGUUAAUCGGAAUUACUGGGCGUAAAGCGCGCGUAGGCGGUCUGAUAAGCCGGUUGUGAAAGCCCCGGGCUCAACCUGGGAACGGCAUCCGGAACUGUCAGGCUAGAGUACAGGAGAGGAAGGUAGAAUUCCAGGUGUAGCGGUGAAAUGCGUAGAGAUCGGGAGGAAUACCAGUGGCGAAGGCAGCCUUCUGGACUGACACUGACGCUGAGGUGCGAAAGCGUGGGUAGCAAACAGGAUUAGAUACCCGAGUAGUC